rnacentral:lncRNA from 1 species
ACGGAGGAUGAAUAAAUGAAAGAAGGUCAGCCAGGCGGAAUGUUUCUGCUUCAUCUCUGCUCAUAUACAGUGUAGCGGCCAUGGAGGGGUACCACUCAGAUCACUCUUCAAGUGAGUCCUCUGUGGCAUGCAUGACUGACAAAUGCUCCAGCUGUCACACCUUCAGGCCCAUGGUAACUGAAUAUAGCAGGGGCACUAGAGCUGGGCCGUUCCUGCUGCACAUGAGAUGGUGUCAUGGAUGACUAUUGCAUGAGGACUCCCUGUUGACCUGGCCAAAACUUUCUUAGAACUGCACUGUAGUCACAGCUCUUCCUACUUCCUCCUCCUUCUUUCCCACUCUCCUUUCUCGCACUUCAGACUCACAUCAUGGUCUGAAGGCUCUCUCUGCCUCCUCCUGAUCCUCUCCUUUGUCAUGCACCAGAGCUUCUCCAAUACAUCUCAUGCACAGCUAAUCCCAUCUUGGUGUCUACUUCCUGAAGAAUGCUAAUGCAAAGACACAGUGACUCUGUUUUUCAGCCCACAUGUCUCUCACCUGGGAAACAGAUCAAUUCUAUGAUAUCAUCAUGCAAUGGAAUACUAUAGGGCAGUCAAAAUGAACGAAUUAGAGAUAUAGGCAUCAACAUACAUACAUCUCAAAAAGAUAAUGUUGAGCAAAAACAAAAAUGUUGCAGAGUGAUACAUACAGUAUGUAACAUUUAUACAAAGUUUUAAAACUUGUGAAACAAUGUCAUAUAUAAUUUGUAGAUGAGUACAUAUGUGACAAAAGCAUAAAAACACACUAAGGGCUGGGUGCGGUGGCUCGCGCCUGUAAUCCCAGCACUUUGGGAGGCCAAGGUGGGUGGAUCAUGAGGUCAAGAGAUUGAGACCAUCCUGGCCAACAUGGUGAAAUCCCGUCUCUACUAAAAAUACAAAAAUCAGCUGAAUGUGGUGGCACAUGCCUGCAGUACCAGCUACUUGGGAGGCUAAGGCAGAAGAAUCACUUGAACCCCGGAGGCAGAGGUUGCAGUGAGCUGAGAUCGCGCCAUUGCACUCCACCCUGAGCACAGAGAGAGACUCCAUCUCAAAACAAACAAACAAAC